GCACUUCAGCAAACCCUGUCCUUUCGUCUUAGUGCUGGUCAUGGGUUUUAAAAAGUGCUAAAGAAAAUCAGAGUAAAUCCAGAUGAGUCUUCUCCUUCAUUGAAGCUUGUCUCUACAGACUUUGAAACAUCC